GAUGAACGCUGGCGGCGUGCUUAACACAUGCAAGUCGAACGGUGAAGCAGAGCUUGCUCUGUGGAUCAGUGGCGAACGGGUGAGUAACACGUGAGCAACCUGCCCUGAACUCUGGGAUAAGCGCUGGAAACGGCGUCUAAUACUGGAUACGAGACGUGGCCGCAUGGUCAACGUUUGGAAAGAUUUUUUGGUUCAGGAUGGGCUCGCGGCCUAUCAGCUUGUUGGUGAGGUAAUGGCUCACCAAGGCGUCGACGGGUAGCCGGCCUGAGAGGGUGACCGGCCACACUGGGACUGAGACACGGCCCAGACUCCUACGGGAGGCAGCAGUGGGGAAUAUUGCACAAUGGGCGAAAGCCUGAUGCAGCAACGCCGCGUGAGGGAUGACGGCCUUCGGGUUGUAAACCUCUUUUAGCACGGAAGAAGCGAAAGUGACGGUACUUGCAGAAAAAGCGCCGGCUAACUACGUGCCAGCAGCCGCCGUAAAAC
rnacentral:rRNA from 1 species